ACUUGAACUCACGAACCUCAAGAUCAUGACCUGAGCCGAAGUCGGAUGCUUAACUGACUGGGCCACCCAGGCACCCUGUCCUCUAUCUUCUUUGAUGCCUUUUGAAUUUUGUAUCCUAUGCAUGUGGUACCAAUUUUGAAAAUGAUAUCCAGGCAAUGGGGAUCCCCUGAAGAAUUUCAGGCAGAAUUUUGCCUGAAAACAAGGCUGUCAUCGUUAAUGCUGCUGAUAACUCUUCUGAGUCUUUGAGGGGACCCAGAGUUUCAGUUUCAAGGAGGAGCUUACAUUCCUGUGGAGGGAGACAGGUAAUCAAGAAAGAAACACAAAAGGGAAGAUGAUGACAAGUGCUCUGGAAAACAAAACAAAACAAAACAAGAUGCACUCUUGGAAUGUCUGCCCUGCCAGACAAAGGACUUCUCUACAGCCCAAAAUCACUGGCUUCAGUUUGGGUCAGGACUGGCAACCUAGUCUCAGUCUCAGCAGAUUCCCACGCCAUUGGAGCCUAGCAUAAGGAACAGUCCUCAGCUCGUCACAGCUUUGCUGCGCCCCCACACCUCAUCUCCCCUCUCUCUGACUGCCUCCUCCUCACCAGCGUGGGGAUUUGGCUGGAGUAGCUUGAGCUUUGAAUUUUAGAACAAAUCCAGAGAACCCAGUAGCCCAGGGGGACCUGGGAAGGGGCUAACAACACCGGAGGUCAUGUGACUGCCUUUGGCUUCUUAUUGCUCCUCAGGCUUUGCUUAGCACUGAAUUGGGGCCCCUGCCCUCCAGAGCCAAGGGGUAGGGGGUGGAGGGCAGCACAACCACAAAUAAUACCACAUAAGAAACUCUAGAGCUGACCUAGGCAUACAGCCCCAUGUUUUGCUUGGCGAGCAAUCCACACCACGGAACAGGGACAUGCUGGCUGCUUAGUCUGCACUGAAGGGUGAAAUCGCCUUCAACUUCUCCAUGCCUCACAUGAUGAUCGGCCUGCACCAUCUCGACCUAUUCCAGGGUGGUUGGAAAGCUAUGAAUCAAACAACAGAUGGGACAGAGAAAGAGUCAACUAGAUGUGAAUGUGCCUUUCACAUGUGCUCGUUCCCCAUUUAAUAAGGAAGUUCUGUGAGAAGAAGCAGUUGCAGCCUCAAGAGGUGAAAUUCUGCCCUGGAAAAUAAGACGGGUGAACUGCUAAGUCCAGAAUGAAGACCAGACACCAGGAAGCCUGAAGCCAAAUGUCCUCAAGUCAAACCUUGGAGCAGCCAGAGGCAGGAGCGAUCAGGCAGGGGACAGCCAUCCAGAACAUUCUGGAAUCACCAUCUGAGGAGCAGAGGGGAGCUGUGUGUGCAGCCAGCCGUGGUCAGACAGAGGAAAUGCAGGGUCUGGCUGCUGGCCAUUCUUACCCUCGCUCCCACCAUCAGGAUCUCUGGCCCCAUCCUGACCCCUGGUGGCUGCCCAUGGGAUGAGGUGAGCAUUCUUCCCAAGCUCCUCCCUGCCCUGGUCCCACCCAGCAUAGCAGGAAAAAUGAAUCCCCCACCCCACAGGUCCUGGCUAGGGUCCCCAGGAAGUACAAGUGUGUUUCCUAGGGGUUUUUCAGGAGGGUUUACUCCACUGUGGUCACCAGGUGCCUUCUCAAUGUAAGUCCAGAGACCAAUUAAACAAAUGUAUAUAAAGAAAGCCCUUUCACCUGCCAAGUUGGCAAAAGGUGUGUUAAAAAAGAGGUGUGUGUCUGUGUGAAUGCAUGUGUGUGUUAUAACUAAAAGUUAAUGCAGGCCGGGGUGCAAUAAGACCAGCACUCUCAUGCACAAUUCGUGAGAGUACAAAUUUGUAUAACCCUUCUGCAAGUGAUCCGAGCAAAAUAAAUCCAAAAUCUUACUAAGCAUUCUAUCCUCUGACCCAGUAAUUCUGUUAGGAAUCCAGCUUCAAAAAUAUCAAUACUCAAAUAACAUGAAACCCAAAAUUUGAAAUAAAUGGGAGAGGAAAAAACAAGAUAAGCCAAGCGUGAUCAUCACUGAGGCUGGAUGAUGAUUACAUGACAGUUCUUUAUUCUGUUUUGUUUUGUUUUGUUUUUGUCUGCUUUGCUAUAUGCUGUGAAUUUGCCACGAUAUUUUUAGAAGAAAGCAUCA